AUACGUAGGUGACAAGCGUUAUCCGGAUUUAUUGGGCGUAAAGGGCGUGUAGGCGGUCUUGCAAGUCAGAAGUGAAAUUCCUGAGCUCAACUCGGGCGCUGCUUCUGAAACUGCAGGACUUGAGUGCUGGAGGGGAUAGCGGAAUUCCUAGUGGAGCGGUAAAAUGCGCAGAUAUUAGGAAAAACACCGGUGGCGAAGGCGGCUAUCUGGAGAGUAAAUGACGCUGAGGCGCGAAAGCGUGGGGAGAAAAAAGGUGUAGAUACCCUGGUAGUCCACGCCGUAAAAGAUGAAUACUAGGUGUAGGGGGGAUCGACUCCCUCUGUGCCGCAGUUAACACAAUAAGUAUUCCGCCUGGGGAGUACGGCCGCAAGGUUGAAACUCAAAUGAAUUGACGGGG
rnacentral:rRNA from 1 species